rnacentral:rRNA from 1 species
AUUGAACGCUGGCGGAAUGCUUUACACAUGCAAGUCGAACGGCAGCACGGGGCAACCUGGUGGCGAGUGGCGAACGGGUGAGUAAUACAUCGGAACGUGCCCAAUCGUGGGGGAUAACGUAGCGAAAGCUACGCUAAUACCGCAUACGAUCUACGGAUGAAAGCGGGGGAGUCGCAAGACCUCGCGCGAAUGGAGCGGCCGAUGGCAGAUUAGGUAGUUGGUGGGGUAAAGGCUCACCAAGCCUGCGAUCUGUAGCUGGUCUGAGAGGACGACCAGCCACACUGGAACUGAGACACGGUCCAGACUCCUACGGGAGGCAGCAGUGGGGAAUUUUGGACAAUGGGCGCAAGCCUGAUCCAGCCAUUCCGCGUGCAGGAUGAAGGCCCUCGGGUUGUAAACUGCUUUUGUACGGAACGAAAGGCUUUCUCUAAUACAGGGGGCUCAUGACGGUACCGUAAGAAUAAGCACCGGCUAACUACGUGCCAGCAGCCGCGGUAAAG